ACGGGAGGCAGCAGUAGGGAAUAUUGCACAAUGGGGGAAACCCUGAUGCAGCGACGCCGCGUAAGUGAAGAAGUUAUUCGUAAUGUAAAGCUCUAUCAGCAGGGAAGAAAAUGACGGUACCUGACUAAGAAGCCCCGGCUAACUACGUGCCAGCAGCCGCGGUAAUACGUAGGGGGCAAGCGUUGUCCGGAAUGACUGGGCGUAAAGGGCGUGUAGGCGGCCGAUUAAGUCCGGAGUGAAAGUCCUGCUUUCAAGGUGGGAAUUGCUUUGGAGACUGGUUGGCUUGAGUGCGGAAGAGGUAAGUGGAAUUCCCGGUGUAGCGGUGAAAUGCGUAGAGAUCGGGAGGAACACCAGUGGCGAAGGCGACUUACUGGGCCGUAACUGACGCUGAGGCGCGAAAGCGUGGGGAGCGAACAGGAUUAGAUACCCUGGUA
rnacentral:rRNA from 1 species